ensembl:lncRNA
AUGUCAGUGUCUUAUUUACCUGAAUGACAUGCACAUCAUGGUAGGCAAUAGUUGAGAACACAGAAGUGCAAUCUGUGUGCAGAAGAAAGCAGGCCCAUAAGACCCAGAAACCCAUGUUCUUUUUUCUAAAUUCUACUGAGUCUUUAUCAGCACUGUCUAAAAGAACUUUCCAUGAUGAUGAAAAUGUCCUUCAUCAACAGUACUAGCAACAACAUGUGGCUCAUGAGCGUUUGAAAUCUGGAUGGUGCAGCUGAGAAGUAAAUAUUUGAUUUCUUCAAUUUUAAUGUCAAUAGCCUCGUAUGAUUAGUGACUCAUCUGUUGCACAGGGGAGGAUCCAUCAUACAGUUUGGUGUAAAAAUGCCAUCAUGGAAAGCUUCACCCAAAAUAAUCCUCAGGGGGAAAAGUGCACACACAAGAGCAUUGGUACAACUAGAAAUUAAUCAUAUAACUCAUUAAUCUUAAUGGAAAUGGUGACAGAUCCUUCUUAACGGUGUCUGAGUUAAGGAAAUACAAUUAAUCUGCAGAUUCAGGGACUCAGAUUUAAAGAGGUCUGCCUUCUCUAAAUGUUGGCAACCAGCAGAAGCCAGGCAUGGCAGCCCUAAGUCCACCAGCUAGUAGACUGAAUGAGGACAGUGAAGGCAAGUGGAGCCAUUUCAACAGUUAAUCUUUUCUUCUCGACAGACUUUAGAAACUCCCCUGUUUUGCUUCUAAUCAACUGUUCCUCUAAGUAUUGAGAAGACAUAGUCAAGUGGUUACUCCAUGGAGUCUGACCAUAGCAGUGAAUUUAGCGGGAAUAACACUGAUCUAGCCAUCACUCAGCACUGAGCAAAGUGGUCUUCCAAGAUGUCAGGCUAGAGUAGCAAGCCGUAUGCAGAGAAAAGGCAUGUCACCUGGUUAGCAGCAUUGGCAUCUGACACUUGACCAUCCAGUGCCCACCAAGAUGGGAAUCUCAGCCCACGGGAAUGUUUAAUAACUUUUAGAACAGGUGAAAGACCCCCAAUUAACAGACCAGUUGAGUAAGACUGUCUCUUCUUGCCAGCAAACAGGACCCACUCUGCACUUCUACUCCAAACCUCAUUAUUUGCCUUUUGAAUUGAAUGGACCUUUUUGAAUGCAGUAAACAAAUCAGCUACAAUUACAGUGAAGAUAAGCCAUAGCAGUAUUUUCUGCAAAACGAGGGCCUCAGUUAAAACCCUAAGCCUGCAGGGCAAUGGUGGAGAAGCAGAUUAGGAAAACAAGGAGUGAAGGGGCUGAGACAACCCAGGAGUGACCAAGAAGAUUGGAAGAAAUUCUGAAAAUUGGAUAUUAGGGCUUAUGCAGGGUGAAGCAACAAGAAACGAAUGAAUAACAGAUGGGAGAAGAAAUAAAAAGGGCUGUGCAAAACAAGAACAGGGUUUUCUUUCUCAAACAACAUUGGUCACAAAUCUGGACCAUGGUCUCUGCCCGGUGCCUUUGCAUGCGCUGAGCCAACUCUAAUGACAGGGCCUGUCUUGGUGAUAUCUGCCAAAGUCCGGCACACUUCAAAUACUAGUCAGUGUGAAGUCCUAGCGAUUUUCUAAGCCAGUGCCUCUCAAACUCUCAAGGAUAUACAUUACCUGUGCCUGCAUGCAUGCUAAGUCACUUUGGGCAUGUCCAACUCUUUGCGACUCUAUGGAUGGUAGCCCAUCAGGCUCCUCUGUCCAUGGGAUUCCCCAGGCAAGAAUACUGGAGUGGGUUGCUAUGCCCUCUUUCAGGGGAUCUUCUUGACCCAGAAAUGGAACCUGCCUUAGCAGGUGGAUUCUUUACUGCUGAGCCACCAGGGAAGCCCAUACUUUGAGUAACAAACCGUUAUUCUCUUGUCAGUCACAGGGGAGCUUGUUUGGUUGAGAAUCACGCCAGGAAAGUCAAGGACAUCCAUUUGAGCCCCAUCAGUGGGAUCACUGUGUUCUAUGGCUGCAAACGGAACCCGCAGCUCCAACUGGUUGUCCGGAGUCUUUGUCACACACAUACACGCACCCACAUACACGCCACCACACCUUCUGGACCAGUGGAGAUUCGGUGGUAAGGAAUACCUAUCUGAAGGUCAGCAGGUAAAACCUGGGCUGCUGGGGGGACCCAGCCCUGAGCCGCAUUGUCCCAUGGCUCUGGCUCUGUGCUCUCCCUGCUCCCACCUGCCCCUCGAGGUCUUCUUACCCUCAUUCCCUGGAGGCCGACUUCAGAAUUGUCUAUUAGAUGAAAUCACUCAGAAGCAGGAUUGCAAACUAGUCCCCUCUCUCCCGCUGACUGGAUGAUCUGAAGCGGCUGCCUGUGGAGCUAAUUUGAGGAAGAUGCUGAAACCAGGUCUUGGCUCUGCUGGAAGAACUGUCAUACUGGCAUGGUGCUUGGCGCUCAAAUGAUGAACACAUGAAUGAAGAAAUGCAGAGAUUAAUUAGCCUUUAAAUGCUUGGAUGCCCCAUAUUCUGUGGAAUAAAACAUUCUUCUUUGAGCUAUAAAAAUAAGAACAUUGCAGAACACUGCCUUUUUGACAGCAGCAAUAUCUCUGUUAUUAAAUAACAGACUGGGAACUGGAUACCUCCUGCUCUGAAGUCUGAGGCACACGCUUUUAAUUCUCUAAAGAACCCAACCAUUAAGUAAUUACUUUUUGAAACUGCCUUCUCUGGAAAUCCACUUCUUUAACCUAUCCACAGAGCAGCCCUGCAAGGCAGACUGUCCCCACAUCCCAGAAAUGAGCCCCCUGUGGUGUGUUCCCUUCUGCAGAAUUACUGGCUACAUCUACUCGGGAACAUAAUCAGAGGCUGUGAGAAAUGGAGUGAGGUGUCUGAGCGUGCUUACCUACCACCUCCAGAUUCUGACAGUCACCAACC